AACGAACGCUGGCGGCAUGCCUAACACAUGCAAGUCGAACGAGACCUUCUGGUCUAGUGGCGCAAGGGUUCGUAACGCGUGGGAACCUUCCCUUAGGGUCGGAAUAACUCCCCGAAAGGGGUUCUAAUACCGGAUAAUGUCUUCGGGCCAAAGAUUUAUCGCCUUUGGAUGGGCCCGCGUUGGAUUAGCUAGUUGGUAGGGAAAAAGCCUACCAAGGCGACGAUCCAUAGCUGGUCUGAGAGGAUGAUCAGCCACACUGGGACUGAGACACGGCCCAGACUCCUACGGGAGGCAGCAGUGGGGAAUAUUGGACAAUGGGCGAAAGCCUGAUCCAGCAAUGCCGCGUGAGUGAUGAAGGCCUUAGGGUUGUAAAGCUCUUUUACCCGGGAUGAUAAUGACAGUACCGGGAGAAUAAGCUCCGGCUAACUCCGUG
rnacentral:rRNA from 1 species